GCCAGUGUAACCUAGUGGUUAAGGUGCCAGGCUAGAAACCAGGAGAUUGUGAGUUCUAGUCCUGCUUGGGCA
rfam:Ophiophagus hannah scaffold45.1, whole genome shotgun sequence.